rnacentral:lncRNA from 1 species
CAACUAUACUGUCAGACAGAACUCAGUGACUGUUUCAACAUGGAAAAUUCCAGUGGAGAACAGAUAAUACCCAUCCAUUGUGUGAUGUCUAUACAGCAUUCCCGCUUCAACAGCACAAUGGAGAAGUUUUAUCAGCAAGCACCUGGCCUUCGAGAUUCGAAGCAUUUACAGAAAAUAGUCUGACAACCCAGAAAAUUUUGAUCCAAGAAUGAAAUUUCCUCUCAAGACCACUGAACCUAGACCAUAGAGUUUAUUUCUAGUCAACAGCAACGAGUAAUACAAGAGGCCAUCUGGAGCAGGGCUGCCCUCUGAACAUCUUGCCUCUUGGAAAUAAGUCUGAUACUUGUUGAGCUCUGGCCUUGUUCAUGUUGAUAAAGGAAUACUUGGGCCCAAAAAGGUUCUCCUGUCUGAGCAUUGGUUCCUUCACACACACACACACACACACACACACACACACACACACACACACACACACACACACAAACACACACACACACACACACACCCC